rnacentral:rRNA from 1 species
UACGUAGGGUGCGAGCGUUGUCCGGAAUUAUUGGGCGUAAAGAACUUGUAGGCGGUUUGUCGCGUCUGCCGUGAAAAUCCGGGGCUCAACCCCGGACUUGCGGUGGGUACGGGCAGACUAGAGUGUGGUAGGGGAGACUGGAAUUCCUGGUGUAGCGGUGAAAUGCGCAGAUAUCAGGAGGAACACCGAUGGCGAAGGCAGGUCUCUGGGCCACUACUGACGCUGAGAAGCGAAAGCGUGGGGAGCGAACAGG